UUCCACAAUGGACGCAAGUCUGAUGGAGCAACGCCGCGUGAGUGAAGAAGGGUUUCGGCUCGUAAAGCUCUGUUGUUAAAGAAGAACGUGGGUAAGAGUAACUGUUUACCCAGUGACGGUAUUUAACCAGAAAGCCACGGCUAACUACGUGCCAGCAGCCGCGGUAAUACGUAGGUGGCAAGCGUUAUCCGGAUUUAUUGGGCGUAAAGCGAGCGCAGGCGGUCUUUUAAGUCUAAUGUGAAAGCCUUCGGCUCAACCGAAGAAGUGCAUUGGAAACUGGGAGACUUGAGUGCAGAAGAGGACAGUGGAACUCCAUGUGUAGCGGUGAAAUGCGUAGAUAUAUGGAAGAACACCAGUGGCGAAGGCGGCUGUCUGGUCUGCAACUGACGCUGAGGCUCGAAAGCAUGGGUAGCGAACAGGAUUAGAUACCCUGGUAGUCCAUGCCGUAAACGAUGAUUACUAAGUGUUGGAGGGUUUCCGCCCUUCAGUGCUGCAGCUAACGCAUUAAGUAAUCCGCCUGGGGAGUACGACCGCAAGGUUGAAACUCAAAAGAAUUGACGGGGGCCCGCACAAGCGGUGGAGCAUGUGGUUUAAUUCGAAGCUACGCGAAGAACCUUACCAGGUCUUGACAUCUUCUGACAGUCUAAGAGAUUACAGGUUCCCUUC
rnacentral:rRNA from 1 species